CGUAUCACCCAAGACAACUUUGCACAGUUGACGAUUGACGGAGCGAAGCGACGUCAAAGCGUUUUACAACGUCGAGUUGGCUUAGGGAUACGUUCGUUGGGUAGGGGAGCGUUCUGUAAGCCGUUGAAGGUGGCCUGUGAGGGUUGCUGGAGGUAUCAGAAGUGCGAAUGCUGACAUAAGUAACGAUAAAGCGGGUGAAAAGCCCGCUCGCCGGAAGACCAAGGGUUCCUGUCCAACGUUAAUCGGGGCAGGGUGAGUCGACCCCUAAGGCGAGGCCGAAAGGCGUAGUCGAUGGGAAACGGGUUAAUAUUCCCGUACUUGGUGUUACUGCGAAGGGGGGACGGAGAAGGCUAUGUUGGCCGGGCGACGGUUGUCCCGGUUUAAGCGUGUAGGUGUGUGUUCCAGGUAAAUCCGGUUCACUUUAACACUGAGGCGUGACGACGAGGCACUACGGUGCUGAAGCAACAAAUGCCCUGCUUCCAGGAAAAGCCUCUAAGCCUCAGGUAACAUCAAAUCGUACCCCAAACCGACACAGGUGGUCAGGUAGAGAAUACCAAGGCGCUUGAGAGAACUCGGGUGAAGGAACUAGGCAAAAUGGUGCCGUAA
rnacentral:rRNA from 2 species